AUAGCUAUCUAAUUUUCGCAGUCCGACUUUUGGGUGUCUUCUCUCUUUUCUCUUCAUUAUUCCGCGCUUGCUACUGUUAACCCUAAGUCCCAUCACUCUCUGUUCACAUCUGAUUUUUCUUUCAUCAAACUCUCCCUCCGAAGGAAUUAGCAUUAUCAUCUCGGUAAGCCGUCGUCUCUGGGGUUAUAUUAACCGCCGUUCUCGUCGGAGAACAGAAUUCGCGAGUUUAAUGGCUUCUCAUUUUCUUUCGGUUUUCGAUGUUUUAUAAAACACUAUCAAUUAUUUUUGUUUUUCCUAUUUCCAAACGCCAUCAUGUUACGCUUUCAGAAUAGUCUUUUUUCGAUUUUUACCGUUUAUGGGUUUCGAUCUAGUAUAAUCAUAGAUCUCCCUCGGAUAAAUUAGAUCUCUACUUUUCUCGACACCACCUUUACCGAUCUAUUUAGAUCUCUACUUUUCUCGACACCACCUUUACAGAUCUUUUUUUUCUUUUAGCCCUUCCCGUAUACUGCUCUAUAAUUCCAGAUCUAAUCCUUUGCUAACAACUUAUUACCCUUAUUUCUUUCUGCAUGACAUGGCUGUUCUGAAACUUCCUUCUCGUUUGUUUGCUGAUAGAGAAGAGCCAGUAGGAGACCGAGUGAACUAGUAUUUUAAGCUAUAUGCGAUCAAGGUUAUCCUCAAGGCUUUGCAACCGUCGGAGCUUGAGCUUAUUUGUCCGUGCUUCGGAAAAUUACUCGAUGUUUACUCCAAACCGUCAUUCUCGGGGAAGUUGGCCCAUUUCUUGUUAACUCGGCAGCGGAGCGUUGUAGCGUACAUAUAAGUAUACAAAUGUAAAUAACGCUCUAUAUAUGUGUUUACAUAUAUAUAUAAAUGUUAAUAAAGCUCUAUGUAUGUGUUUACAUGUACAAAAAUAUUAAUAACGUUCUCUAUAUAUAUAUGUAUUGACAUGUAUACAUAGACCGAAUUAUUUAACACUAUAAUUAUUUUUAACG
rnacentral:lncRNA from 1 species